CCCGGUCCGCGUCCCUUCGACACAGCGUGAGCCCGGGGCCUCUGUUCGUCCUCGUUGGCAACCUGGAGAGACUAGGCGCUCAGUUCAAUCACUGACUCACGUUGAUGCGCUGGACCGAGCCUGUGUCCAGCAGAAGGGCACCUCGCGAGGGCUGGCGGGUCCAAGCAUGCGGAGCCGGCCUCUCCUCUCAGCGGCACCACCAAUGCUCUCCCAGAGUCCGGAGCAGCCCUGAGCACUUCACAUGCGUAUCAUUUAAUGCUCACAAGACCUACCAUCUGCUCAUUUUCAGAUUGUCUUCACAGGGGUGAUGGAGAACGGCUGUGGGAAGCAUCAAGCGGCUGUGGCUGAUUCAGUUGAUGCCGUGACUCAAAGUGAGCCCCGAGCCACGCUGGAGAAAUCACUCCUGGAAAAGCAGGCACUUUGAGUUCAUCAUAUCGACCCUGCACCCAGCACUGUGGAGAGUGUCAGAGGCUCAAUAAACAUGAACUUCCUGUGGA